GGGAAUAGCUCAGUGGUAGAGUGCAUGCCUAGGAUGCAUGAGGUCCUGGGUUCAAUCCCCAGUACUGCCA
rnacentral:tRNA from 1 species